rnacentral:lncRNA from 1 species
AUGGCUGCAAGAGGAACCAAGAGGAAAUUUGAGGCCGCUGAACCUCCGAUCUGCUCCUCCCCUUCUUCGGCGUCGCCCAUCGACGUCGGUAAGCUGGGAGAGGAGUCCGUGGAGCUGGAAUCGAGCGAAGAUUCGACCAAAUCUUACCUCUUCGACGCUGCAUCCGGAGCCACUGCACAAGACGAUGUGGAGCUUGUCGCUCGUGCACUCUCCUCCGUAGCUGCGAAGUCCCCUGAAGCCGUUCGGCAGUUCAUCCGCCGCCUCACCCCGGAGAAGAUGGCCGGCGGAGGUCACACUCACUGGACUGAGGACGAACUCCAUGCGUUCUUGGAAAGCUGCAUGGAGGAAAUAGAAGCUCGCAACAUCACUUCGUCAUGCCCCAAGACUCAGGGGUAUGCCAACUUGCAGGCCAAGAUGCUGUCCAAGGCAGGGAAGCAUGUCAGCAAGCAGCAAGUGAAGAACUUCUGGGGUGCUUGUCGCCGCCGUUUCCAGACCUGGACAUGGUUGGAAUCGAUGGCUACAGGGCUGGGAACAAACCCGUACACCGGCAGCAUUGACGCCUCCCCAGAGUGGUGGGAAGCAAUGGAAGGGAUGAGAAAAUGUGCUAGGUCUUUCAAGAAUGCACCUCUCAGAUUCAUUGCUGAGCACCAUGCUGUCUUCAGGGGGAGCAGUUGCAGCCAGCCAACGCAGAACUCCUCGAUGUUGAGGACCUUGUCGACGUGCCAGAUGCGCCACAGUCACCUAAUCCACCAUCACGGUCAAGGCCAACCAGGGAGGGGUAGGGGCAAAAGGGUGGCAACACUGGCUAGUGGGUCUAGGGGUUCCAAAAGGACCCGCAGUGACUCCAUCGGUGAGGCUUUGCAUAGGCUCGCUGAUCUGAGGGUUAAGUCUAGUGAGAGUAAGGCACAAAAGCAGCGAGAACGUGAGGCUAUGAGUGCUCGUGCAUGCAUUGAGUUGGUCAAGUCUGAUGGGCACUUAUUUAGCUCAGAUGUUUACCACAUGGGGGUUUUGCUCUUUAGUGACCCAUACUUUUGCGAGUUCUUCCUAGGUGAUGCCAUUACCCCGGAGAUGCGUGUGUACUACAUUAGGUUCCACUAUGCCAUGAAGUUUCCUAAUGGUGGAGGAUUUUUCCCUCCACCAUCUUGCUCAGGGGGUUGGUUUCCACCUGGUGGUACACGGUAUGAUGGGGGUGAUGGGGGGACCCUGGGGAUGAUGGUGCUGGGGGAGCCGACGGAGCUGCAGUGUGUUGAGUGGCUGUGUGUUAUGGCCGUGCUGUGUGUGCCUCUGAUGAGCACCACCUCAGGGAACACUUCAGGGUCUAAAGAUGGAUACACAAGCGAGGAGGAUGAAACAAUUAUGGAGUUGUUGGCUGAUGCUUUUCAAAGGAAUGUAAGCACACGAGCACCAAGACGGGUACCUCAGCAGUCGGGCAUGCAAUGGGUUAUGGAAACAAUGAACAACCCAGAGCAGUGCCAUAACAUGUUUCGGAUGAGAGCGGACCAGAUUCACGCUCUCUACAAUCUCCUUGUGAGCAGGUACCACUUGCAUGGUACCUAUGAG